rnacentral:rRNA from 1 species
UCACGCUGGCGGCGUGCCUAACACAUGCAAGUCGAACGCGAAAGUCCCGCAAGGGAUCAGUAGAGUGGCAAACGGGUGAGUAACACGUGGGUGACCUGCCUUCGAGCGGGGGAUAACGUCCCGAAAGGGACGCUAAUACCGCAUGACAUCCUGCCUUUUAACAGGUGGAGAUCAAAGCCGGGGAUCGUAAGACCUGGCACUCGAAGAGGGGCCCGCGCCUGAUUAGCUAGUUGGUGAGGUAACGGCUCACCAAGGCAACGAUCAGUAGCCGGCCUGAGAGGGCGGACGGCCACACUGGGACUGAGACACGGCCCAGACUCCUACGGGAGGCAGCAGUGGGGAAUUGUUCGCAAUGGGCGCAAGCCUGACGACGCAACGCCGCGUGGAGGAUGAAGAUCUUCGGGUCGUAAACUCCUUUCGAUCGAGACGAAUUCCUCUGGGGUGAACAAUCCCGGAGGUUGACGGUACCGAGAGAAGAAGCCCCGGCUAACUCCGUGCCAGCAGCCGCGGUAAUACGGGGGGGGCAAGCGUUGUUCGGAAUUACUGGGCGUAAAGGGCUCGUAGGUGGCCAACUAAGUCAGACGCGAAAUCCCUCGGCUUAACCGGGGAACUGCGUCUGAUACUGGAUGGCUUGAGUUUGGGAGAGGGACGCGGAAUUCCAGGUGUAGCGGUGAAAUGCGUAGAUAUCUGGA